rnacentral:rRNA from 1 species
CCUACGGGUGGCAGCAGUGAGGAAUAUUGGUCAAUGGCCGUAAGGCUGAACCAGCCAAGUAGCGUGAGGGAAGACUGCCCUAUGGGUUGUAAACCUCUUUUAUAUGGGAAUAAAACAGGGUAUGCAUACCCUUUUGUAUGUACCAUAUGAAUAAGGAUCGGCUAACUCCGUGCCAGCAGCCGCGGUAAUACGGAGGAUCCGAGCGUUAUCCGGAUUUAUUGGGUUUAAAGGGAGCGUAGGUGGAUUGUUAAGUCAGUUGUGAAAGUUUGCGGCUCAACCGUAAAAUUGCAGUUGAAACUGGCAGUCUUGAGUACAGUAGAGGUGGGCGGAAUGCGUGGUGUAGCGGUGAAAUGCUUAGAUAUCACGAAGAACUCCGAUUGCGAAGGCAGCUCACUGGACUGCAACUGACACUGAUGCUCGAAAGUGUGGGUAUCAAACAGGAUUAGAUACCCGGGUAGUC